rnacentral:rRNA from 1 species
UGGGGAAUUUUGGACAAUGGGCGAAAGCCUGAUCCAGCAAUGCCGCGUGUGUGAAGAAGGCCUUCGGGUUGUAAAGCACUUUUGUCCGGAAAGAAAUCCUUGGCUCUAAUACAGUCGGGGGAUGACGGUACCGGAAGAAUAAGCACCGGCUAACUACGUGCCAGCAGCCGCGGUAAUACGUAGGGUGCAAGCGUUAAUCGGAAUUACUGGGCGUAAAGCGUGCGCAGGCGGUUUGCUAAGACCGAUGUGAAAUCCCCGGGCUCAACCUGGGAACUGCAUUGGUGACUGGCAGGCUAGAGUAUGGCAGAGGGGGUAAAAUUCCACGUGUAGCAGUGAAAUGCGUAGAGAUGUGGAGGAAUACCGAUGGCGAAGGCAGCCCCCUGGGCCAAUACUGACGCUCAUGCACGAAAAGCGUGGGGAGCAAACAGGAUUAGAUACCCUGGUAGUCCACGCCCUAAACGAUGUCAACUAGUUGUUGGGGAUUCAUUUUCCUUAGUAACGUAGCUAACGCGUGAAGUUGACCGCCUGGGGAGUACGGUCGCAAGAUUAAAAACUCAAAUGAAUUGACGGGGUCAUAGCUGUUUUCUUG